rnacentral:rRNA from 1 species
GACGAACGCUGGCGGCGUGCUUAACACAUGCAAGUCGAACGGAAAGGCCCUGCUUUUGUGGGGUGCUCGAGUGGCGAACGGGUGAGUAACACGUGAGUAACCUGCCCUUGACUUUGGGAUAACUUCAGGAAACUGGGGCUAAUACCGGAUAGGAGCUCCUGCUGCAUGGUGGGGGUUGGAAAGUUUCGGCGGUUGGGGAUGGACUCGCGGCUUAUCAGCUUGUUGGUGGGGUAGUGGCUUACCAAGGCUUUGACGGGUAGCCGGCCUGAGAGGGUGACCGGCCACAUUGGGACUGAGAUACGGCCCAGACUUCUACGGGAGGCAGAAGUGGGGAAUAUUGCACAAUGGGCGGAAGCCUGAUGCAGCAACGCCGCGUGCGGGAUGACGGCCUUCGGGUUGUAAACCGCUUUCGCCUGUGACGAAGCGUGAGUGACGGUAAUGGGUAAAGAAGCACCGGCUAACUACGUG